rnacentral:rRNA from 1 species
UACGUAGGCAGCAAGCGUUGUUCGGAGUUACUGGGCGUAAAGAGUGCGUAGGUGGUGCCCUAAGUCUGUUGUGAAAUCUCCCGGCUUAACUGGGAGGGUGCGGUGGAAACUGGGGUGCUUGAGUGUGGGAGAGGUAAGCGGAAUUCCUGGUGUAGCGGUGAAAUGCGUAGAUAUCAGGAGGAACACCGGUGGUGUAAACGGCUUACUGGACCACGCUGACACUGAGGCACGAAAGCGUGGGUAGCAAACAGG